rnacentral:rRNA from 1 species
AAAUUGAAGAGUUUGAUCAUGGCUCAGAUUGAACGCUGGCGGCAGGCCUAACACAUGCAAGUCGAGCGGCAGCGGGAAAGUAGCUUGCUACUUUUGCCGGCGAGCGGCGGACGGGUGAGUAAUGCCUGGGGAUCUGCCCAGUCGAGGGGGAUAACAGUUGGAAACGACUGCUAAUACCGCAUACGCCCUACGGGGGAAAGGAGGGGACCUUCGGGCCUUUCGCGAUUGGAUGAACCCAGGUGGGAUUAGCUAGUUGGUGGGGUAAUGGCUCACCAAGGCGACGAUCCCUAGCUGGUCUGAGAGGAUGAUCAGCCACACUGGAACUGAG